GACCCAAGAACUCAAAGUCAAAAAUUAGAAUAUUUAUGUGAAGACUCUUCUUUGCCUUUUCCCCCUUUUGAACAAUGCUAGCAGAAGGGCAUUAAAAAUUAUCUCCAGUUUUCUCACAGAAAGUAAAGCUGGUGCUUGGUUCUCAUAGCCAACAACAACAUGUUCUGUUCCUUCAUUUGUUGCCUCUAACAUGCCUUUAUUCAUUAAUGUAAUGACUACAACUCCUUUAUUGAUUACCAAAGAUUUCAAUUGAGAUAUCAAUGAAAGAAGUGUUAAUUUAAUUCUCUGAGUAAAGGAAGGGACCAAGUCUCUUGCACUCAAAAAAAAAAAAUUCUAUGAAUUAGGUAGAAAUCUUGCCUGUGAAGUAGGGUUUAUAACUUUAAUCUCCUUUUAGGAAAGAACUUUGAAGAUACGAAUAAUUUUUGACCAAUUAUUGGAAAUUAUAACUAUAUUUCUAAGACUCAAUGCAGUCACCUAUCCUCUGGUAUUUCUGUAAUGUUGUCCAGUCUCCUUUGGGCUCUUUCUAAACUAACUGCUUUCCUCAUGAUUCAUAUUCAUGUCAUACCAGCUGCCAUCCAUAAUAAGUAAUUCUUUUCUCCAGGCACCUCCAUUUCUCUAUCUUCACCUGAUAAAUGGCUGAGUCAUUCAGCUGUCCACUUACUGGGAAGGAAGUUUCAAUCUCAUUAUGGCAACAAACACACUGCCUGCUUCUUUUUUAUUGUUGGGAUGCUCCCAACAGUCAGUCUUUAGCACUCUGAGGAGAUGAAUCUCCAGUAAACUGCAAGAGGAAGAACAUAAAUGUGAGCAUGUGGGAUGUCAUCUUCUGGGGGACUUGUAGACAAACAGGGUUAGAUCAUGCCUCCAGGACACAGCCUUUCAUCUGGGUUGUGAGAAUGGCAGUAUCCUUAGAACAAGGAAGUUGUGGAGCAAUGAAUUGACAAUUCCUUGGGAUGAGAAGCAGAAUUUAGAGAAGUCUGUGCAUCACCAGCCUUCUGCUGUGGACAGCUUUCCAGCCACUGACCUGUCUUGCAGGCAAACACUUUUGGAAGUCCUCCAGCUGAGGAGGGGAGUGAGUGAAAAGAUGGGGAUGAGUUUGGCCCAGAGGUCAACCCACAGUACCCGUUCUGUGCACUGUAAGUACAGAACUGUUGUCCUUUGCUGUCUGAGCUCAGAGGCCUGCAAAUUGCAGAUAUUCCUAAUCACACUUCAAUGCAUAAAAAUUACCUCUAAAUUUAUUAUUACAUCCUCAACGUGUACUACUCAGCAUAUUCAGUGCACUAAGCACAUUUUGGAGUUAAUGUGAGUAAAAGAUUCACUAUGACAAACUGAAUUUGUCAACCAAGUAUCCAAAGGGAAAAUACCAAUUAAGCAAUGCUGCAGUUCCAUGAAGACAAAGCACAUGUUUGAGUAACAACCUUCCAAACCACAUGGCCAGGAGUAAUUUGUUAACUUUGCAAUCAGGUUAACGAACUGGAUAUGGAUUCUCCUGUGCUCCCAUUUCUAUGUCUCUGUGGUUCCAGAGAAGGUCUCUUAUCAAAGCCAGGGUUAAUGAACAAAUGUGUGCAGUCCUUUCCUCCCUG
ensembl:lncRNA